UCCGGUUUGGCACCGGCAGUCUUCCUAGAGUCCCCGCCAUUACGCGCUGGCAACUAAGAACAGGGGCUGCGCUCGUUGCGGGACUUAACCCAACAUCUCACGACACGAGCUGACGACAGCCAUGCAGCACCUGUGCUAGCCCCUUACGGACACGGGCUUUCACCCGCUUUAACUAGCAUGUCAAGCCUAGGUAAGGUUCUUCGCGUUGCAUCGAAUUAAGCCACAUGCUCCGCCGCUUGUGCGGGUCCCCGUCAAUUCCUUUGAGUUUUAGCCUUGCGGCCGUACUCCCCAGGCGGUCAACUUCACGCGUUAGCUUCGUUACCAAGGAAUUACUUCCCCGACAACUAGUUGACAUCGUCUAGGGCGUGGACUAC
rnacentral:misc_RNA from 1 species